CCUACGGGUGGCUUCAGUGGGGAAUAUUGGGCAAUGGGCGCAAGCCUGACCCAGCAACGCCGCGUGAAGGAAGAAGGCUUUCGGGUUGUAAACUUCUUUUGUCAGGGACGAAGCAAGUGACGGUACCUGACGAAUAAGCCACGGCUAACUACGUGCCAGCAGCCGCGGUAAUACGUAGGCGGCAAGCGUGAUCCGGAUUUAUUGGGUGUAAAGGGCGUGUAGGCGGGAAUGCAAGUCAGUUGUGAAAACUAUGGGCUCAACCCAUAGCCUGCAUUUGAAACUGUAUUUCUUGAGUGCUGGAGAGGUAAACGGAAUUCCGGGUGUAGCGGUGAAAUGCGUAGAUAUACGGAGGAACACCGGUGGCGAAGGCGGAUUGCUGGACAGUAACUGACGCUGAGGAGCGAAAGCGAGGGUAGCAAACAGGAUUAGAUACCCGAGUAGUC
rnacentral:rRNA from 1 species